CACCAAAGGAGGAGAUCUCUGAAGCUGAUGACAAUCUCGUUCACGAAACCCCUCCACAUUCUUCACAGGAAAACGAGAAUUGUCCUAAAGUAUCCUUGGUUACAGAAAAGAGAGGACACGGUUCUUCGAAAACAUUUCUGCCGCACAAGGUGGUGUGAAGCUGCGGCAACAUCCUCUUCAGAAUGGAAACCCAACCGGAUGAAAAGGCACACUACCCCUGUCUACAGAUCAUUGAUCUCAACACCACCUGAACUACUACCACGCAAGUGUAUCAUCAGUGGUGCUGUUUGAAUUGGCUGCUGGGGGCACUGACUCUGGAACGCUCUGAAAGAUCUGCACCUGUUAUUUCCUGUUGUUCCUGCUGUUAUUUCCAGGGACCCUGGAAAGAGCAGAACCACGAUAAAGAGGCUGAAUACGGAAAAGGCAAUAGAAGCCAAGUGGGAGCAGUUUAUCGCCCCGCCAAAGGUUUUCUCUUCCAAAUAGGCUCUUUCUCGCUGGAAUCUUUGAGUUCCUCUGGCUCUAUGAAGCGAUGUGUUCUCCCCAAGCACGCCAAUGGGAUUUAGACAAGUGUGCCACAUUAGUUGCUUUCUGGAAGACAGUUAAUAAGAAAAGGGCUAAUUACACUCUCGGCAGAUAGAAACUGUAGGCAACGAUUAUGGAGGGUGGCUUGAUGGCUAAAGAUCUGAGCUGGUAACCAAGUGGUGAGCUAUGAUGAGCCGUCGCCAUUUUGGCCAUUGAUCAAGAAACUUUGGGUGUGUUUGUGAUGGAAUAGUAGCAUGCUGCUUGGUAUACACUCUAUAUACUAAUAAUGCAGAGUAGUGUGUGGAAAAAGAUAGUAUUGAAACAUUUAAAACGGUAGUACUGUAUUCAACAUUUUAUCAAGUCACAUUGAUUCAUAUUACACUUUCUACGAUACAGACUAAAAAUAAAUUGUUUAAAAGCAACUUCACACUGUUAAUUACACACAAAAAUUACUGUUAUGAGUA